rnacentral:tRNA from 1 species
ACCUUUGUGGUGUAACGGUAGCACAGUCGGUAUGUAUUCGAGGGGUCCAUGUUCGAAUCCUGGCGAGGGCA